rnacentral:rRNA from 1 species
ACGGGAGGCAGCAGUCGGGAAUAUUGCGCAAUGGAGGAAACUCUGACGCAGUGACGCCGCGUAUAGGAAGAAGGUUUUCGGAUUGUAAACUAUUGUCGUUAGGGAAGAUACAAGACAGUACCUAAGGAGGAAGCUCCGGCUAACUACGUGCCAGCAGCCGCGGUAAUACGUAGGGAGCAAGCGUUAUCCGGAUUUAUUGGGUGUAAAGGGUGCGUAGACGGGAAAUUAAGUUAGUUGUGAAAUCCCUCGGCUCAACUGAGGAACUGCAACUAAAACUGGUUUUCUUGAGUGUUGGAGAGGAAAGUGGAAUUCCUAGUGUAGCGGUGAAAUGCGUAGAUAUUAGGAAGAACACCGGUGGCGAAGGCGACUUUCUGGACAAUAACUGACGUUGAGGCUCGGAAGCGUGGGGAGCAAACAGGAUUAGAUACCCUGGUA